GACGAACCGUCCUAACGUUGUUCGGAUUCACUGGGCUUAAAGGGCGCGUAGGCGGGCUGCCAAGUCCGGGGUGAAAUCUUUCGGCUCAACCGGAAAAGUGCCUUGGAAACUGACAGCCUCGAGGGGGGUAGGGGCCUGUGGAACUUCGGGUGGAGCGGUGAAAUGCGUUGAUAUCCGAAGGAACGCCGGUGGCGAAAGCGACGGGCUGGACCCCUUCUGACGCUGAGGCGCGAAAGCCAGGGGAGCAAACGGG
rnacentral:rRNA from 1 species